rnacentral:rRNA from 1 species
AGAGUUUGAUCAUGGCUCAGAGCGAACGCUGGCGGCGUGCCUAACACAUGCAAGUCGAGCGAGAAAGGGAGCUUCGGUUCCUGAGUAAAGCGGCGAACGGGUGCGUAACACGUGGGUGAUCUGUCCUUAAGAUGGGGAUAACUCAGCGAAAGUUGGGCUAAUACCCAAUGAGACCACAGAAAGCAAUUUCCGGGGUCAAAGGAUGCUUUUUUUGAAGCAUUCGUUUGAGGAGGAGCCCGCGACCUAUCAGCUAGUUGGUAGGGUAACGGCCUACCAAGGCAAAGACGGGUAGCUGGUCUGAGAGGAUGACCAGCCACACGGGGACUGAGACACGGCCCUGACUCCUACGGGAGGCAGCAGUGGGGAAUAUUGGGCAAUGGGGGAAACCCUGACCCAGCGACGCCGCGUGGGUGAUGAAGGCCUUCGGGUCGUAAAGCCUUGUCAGGAGGAACGAAUGUUUUUAGAGUAAAUAGCUCUAAAAAGUGACGGUACCUCUGAAGGAAGCACCGGCCAACUCCGUGCCAGCAGCCGCGGUAAGACGGAGGGUGCAAGCGUUGCUCGGAAUCAUUGGGCGUAAAGGGUGCGUAGGCGGCUUUUUAAGUCUGACGUGAAAGCCCAGGGCUUAGCCUUGGAAGUGCGCCAGAAACUGGAAGGCUAGAGUGCCGGAGGGGAGAGUGGAAUUCCUGGUGUAGCGGUGAAAUGCGUAGAUAUCAGGAGGAAUACCGGUGGCGAAAGCGACUCUCUGGACGGUAACUGACGCUGAGGCACGAAAGCGUGGGGAGCAAACAGGAUUAGAUACCCUAGUAGUCC